rnacentral:rRNA from 1 species
GAUGAACGCUAGCGGCAGGCUUAAUACAUGCAAGGCGAGGGGGCAGCAAUGUCACCGUCGUACGGGUGCGUAACGCGUAUGCAACCUACCUAUCACUGGGGGAUAGCCCGGGGAAACCCGGAUUAAUACCGCAUAAUACAUUUGGGCCACCUGGUUUGAUUUGUUAAAGAUUUAUUGGUGAUAGAUGGGCAUGCGUUCGAUUAGCUAGUUGGCAGGGUAACGGCCUACCAAGGCAACGAUCGAUAGGGGAGCUGAGAGGUUGAUCCCCCACACGGGCACUGAGAUACGGGCCCGACUCCUACGGGAGGCAGCAGUAGGGAAUAUUGGGCAAUGGAUGCAAGUCUGACCCAGCCAUGCCGCGUGCCGGAUGAAGGCCCUCAGGGUUGUAAAGCUCUGUCCUAAGGGAAGAUAAUGACGGUACCCUAGGAGGAAGCCCCGGCUAACUACGUG